AUAACAUUUAGAAAACGCUAUGCCAAUUAAUAGCAAAGAGGGAAACUAAAAUCACUUGACCGCCAACAAUUUCUCAAAAUAUUACACUUAGCGCCCACAAAAAAAUUAUUUGGCAAACCUAAAUUGUUUAUGACAGCCACACUUAGCCAAAAAAAUUAGACUUAGAUCCAUAGUAUCUCGACCACAAAGAACAAAUUAUAAACAUACCAACAAAAAAAAAAUUCACUCGACGGAGAAUUUUCGUUAUUCUCCGAUCUACAUCUGUUCUCUCUUCUCUCUACUUCUUCUUCAUCUUCUUCUCUUUAUUUUUCGCCGAUCUUUCUUCUCAGAUCUGUCGUUCUUCUGCUGAAAUCAAAUUUGGAACAAAGAUCUACAUACCCUUGACUCAAUUGUUAUUUUGAUUCAGUGUUGGAGCAACGGAGUCGCGAGGGUGGUGACGAGGAUGCGGAAGAUGGAAGAAGAAGAAGCUGAGAGGCGGAUCCAUCAGCAGCGUCACCGUGGAGGAGAAUCGCCACGGGAAGGGAGAAGAUGAAUGACAAUAAUCUCGACGAAACGGUCAAACGGGAAUCAAAGAGAGAGAGAGAGAUUCAUGUCUCGGCCCUUCCUUUUUUAAGCACCGACUUCCCUCUCGAUGGCUGGAGAGGUUUGGGAGCUGUUCAUGAGCUCAUAAAAAGAGAAAGGGUCUACGAGGAGAUACUAAAUCGAAUUGCCAUGGCCAAGAACUCCUUCAAGCUUUCUAAAUCCUCUGGGUUGAAGCAACUGUUAGAGCUACAUGGCAGUAUCCAGAAUGUUUAGGUGAACCCCCAUGCCAGUGAUUGCAGCUCAAGAUAUUGCUGUCUCAAGUGCAGUCUCAAGUGCAGUCUCAAGUCAAGUCCCAAGUGAGUGUCUAGCCCAAAACUCUAUAUAUAUAGAUUAGAAUUAGGCUCAGCUUAGAUGAGAACAAGUUUGUUAAUUUUGGCACUUGUAAUCUUAGUUUAAGCCUUGGAUUGAGACUUUUUACUUGUAUGGUGUGGAUGAUUUAUGAAAUAUAAAUAUUUUAUAUAAAUUUCAAAA